UGCCCUCAACAUGACCUUAAAUUGAUUUGGAAUACUAACACGACAAAUGGUUUGGACCUGGAAACAGUUGGCGCAUGCUUCGAAAAGCUAGGUUGUUGUUGCAAUCUGUCUUUCUGAAUGAACCGUUAUCCGGCUACAAAGCGGAGCUGCAAGCAAACAGGAAGACUUCUGUGAAAACGGUGACACUGACGUUGGUACCAGUGAGAAUACAGGAAGACAGCCGAGGGAUGAGGGAGUGAAUCAGGACUCCUCAGCUCUUCCCAUUAGUGGCCGGGGGGGAGCGGGAAGACUGCUCAUCUCCUAUGCAGCAUGGAGUCACUAACCUUUUCCCUCUGCCCCCUCGGGAUCAGGACCCUCAUUUGUAUACAGAGAGUGUCAAUCGAAGUGUUAAAGGGCGGCUAAACACUAUUUGCGUCGACGGGAGUUUUGGAGAAUAAAAAAAAGCGGAGGAGGAUUUUAAACCAUAGCUAGUGAUUAAAUUGACGUCAAUCAAGUGAAACAUUACUGUAAAUAGGAUUCAAGCUGUGGCUGCAGUCGCAAUGAAUGUAUCAACAAUUUGAGUUGUCUCUGGAAAAGGUGUUUUGUAGUUUAUGGUGGGUGAUCUGUUUUUUGAGGAUGGCUUCUAAUUCAAAUGUUUUUCACUUUUUUGUCUUUCAUAUGCCCCACAAAGGUGACAGAUUGUCACAUUGUCACAUAUUAAUUCUGCAUUUUAUGAUGUGCUAUCUUCUGUGUUUAUUUAUUGUGAAAUGACACAGUUGUUGUGAAAAGAAUGUUGUCAUUGCUUAUUUUAGAUAUCCCUCUCUCUCUCUCCACCCCUCUCUCUGUCUCUCUCUCCAUACCCUUCCCUCUGUCUGUCUAUCUUGUUCUAUUAUAGCAUAGCUACCUUAAGGCACUGUCCUGCACUAUCCUCUGUGUCACACUUUUAGACGCUUAUUGUCCUGUGCUCUCAUGUGUUAACCAUCAGAUCUUUCCUUUUUGGUAAAUCGUGUUCAAACAUAGCCUGUGUAAAGAUGCCUAUAUCUUCAAAAUACACCUAUACUGCCCUCCAGCAUUUAGUGCUUUGCUCUAUUGUGACGACCU